rnacentral:rRNA from 1 species
AACGAACGCUGGCGGCAUGCCUAACACAUGCAAGUCGAACGAGACCUUCGGGUCUAGUGGCGCACGGGUGCGUAACGCGUGGGAACCUGCCUUUAGGUUCGGAAUAACUCAGAGAAAUUUGAGCUAAUACCGGAUGAUGUCUUCGGACCAAAGAUUUAUCGCCUUUAGAUGGGCCCGCGUUGGAUUAGCUAGUUGGUGGGGUAAAGGCCUACCAAGGCGACGAUCCAUAGCUGGUCUGAGAGGAUGAUCAGCCACACUGGGACUGAGACACGGCCCAGACUCGUACGGGAGGCAGCAGUGGGGAAUAUUGGACAAUGGGCGAAAGCCUGAUCCAGCAAUGCCGCGUGAGUGAUGAAGGCCUUAGGGUUGUAAAGCUCUUUUACCCGAGAUGAUAAUGACAGUAUCGGGAGAAUAAGCUCCGGCUAACUCCGUG